GCCGAUUGGCCGGCCGCGGUCGUCUCCCGGGGCGGCGCGCGGCCGGCUAUUUUUAGAGGCCUAUAUAAGGGCGCGGCGCGCGCGCGGGGCCCGGCGGCCGCGGCCACACGGGCGCGGACGCACAGGCGCGGCUCCCGGGACGCGGGGCCGGCGCCUCCGACCCUCGCCGCUGCCGGCGGAGACCGGGCGCCCCUCGGAGGGCGGCCGCGGGUCGGGAGGGGAGUCCGGCCGCGGUCAGAUGCCUCCGGGGGGAGGGACGCCGCCCCCGCCCCCCGCCCGGACGCGAGUGCCCAGGGGGCUUCCCUUCCUAAAGAGCAAACCGAAAAGAAAAGCCCCUUCACCAGUGCCCACAGCCUGCCCAGCCGCGGGUCAGGAGCGCCACAGGAGGAAGCGCCGCACGACGGGCGGAACAAAGGCGAGCGGCGCGGGGACAGCGGCCGGGCCCGCCCCGCAGGCGCCCAGGUGCGCACAGGCCCCGCCCCCAGUCCCGCAGGCGCCCAGGUGCGCACAGGCCCCGCCCCCAGUCCCGCGAGCGCACAGGCCCCGCCCCCAGUCCCGCGAGCGCACAGGCCCCGCCCCCAGUCCCGCAGGCGCCCAGGUGCGCACAGGCCCCGCCCCCAGUCCCGCGAGUGCCCAGGUGCGCACAGGACCCGUCCCCGGACCCCGCGAACGCUCGGAGGCACAAGGUCCCGCCCCCAGCCCCGCAACCGCCCAGGUGCACACAGGCCCCUCUGUCGGACCCCGCAAGCGCCCAGGUACAUAGGGCCCAGUCCCUGGCUCCGCGAGCGCCCAGGUGCGCACAGACCCCGCCCCGAUCUGCAAGCGUCCAGCUGCGCGCCACACCGCCACCUGCCCGCC
rnacentral:lncRNA from 1 species